rnacentral:rRNA from 1 species
CCAGACUCCUACGGGAGGCAGCAGUGGGGGAUAUUGCAAAAUGGGGGGAACCCUGAUGCAGCGACGCCGCGUGAGCGAUGAAGUAUUUCGGUAUGUAAAGCUCUAUCAGCAGGGAAGAAAAUGACGGUACCUGACUAAGAAGCCCCGGCUAACUACGUGCCAGCAGCCGCGGUAAUACGUAGGGGGCAAGCGUUAUCCGGAUUUACUGGGUGUAAAGGGGGCGCAGACGGCGAUGCAAGCCAGGAGUGAAAGCCCGGGGCCCAACCCCGGGACUGCUCUUGGAACUGCGUGGCUAGAGUGCAGGAGGGGCAGGCGGAAUUCCUGGUGUAGCGGUGAAAUGCGUAGAGAUCGGGAGGAACACCAGUGGCGAAGGCGGCCUACUGGGCUUUAACUGACGCUGAGGCACGAAAGCGUGGGUAGCAAACAGGAUUAGAUACCCCGGUACAC